ACCCUGAAUAAUAAUUAUUUUAUCUCACACAGUCUGUGAGUCAGGGAUGUGUACAGGGCACAGCAGGAAUGGCAUAUCUCUGUUUCACAAUCUCUAGGGCCUCAGGAGCACACCCCACUAGAUGACUUCUGGUGGACAAUGUCUGGAGACAUUUUGGUUCUUACAACCAGUGGUGAGGGCUGCUACUGGCAUCUCAUGGAUAGAGAGAGAUCCUACAGUGCACACAGGACAGCGCCUCACAGCAAGGAAUUAUCUGCCACCAAAUGUCUGUGGUGCUAAGAAAGGCCAUACUGUUGUCUAACUGCCUCAAGUGGGACAUCAAUAGUGACCAAGGAAUCCACUUUACUGGCCAUAAAAUUCAGGAACAGGUCAGUAAAAAUGAUGAACUCUGGAAUUUCCACCUGCCCUCCAAGCCUGAUGCUGCCAGGCUCAUUGAAAGGCUCCAGUAUUUGGCACCUGCUGUGGGGACUGAGGGUGGACAGGAGGGUGGGUACUGCAGGCUAGGACAAAAAGCACAGGCAGGGGUGGUAUCUUCUCAGGAUGCCGGUACCACGUUUAUUUUGCUUAAUGGCCAUGACCUCCCUGCAAUGUUCUCCUAGAAGAUUCACCCCUUAGCCUAAGGGGAGGAAAUCUGGUCCUGGACUGGGUAACUGGGACACAAUGGUUUAUCACUGCAAAAUGAAUCUGCUGACUAGAUGUGCAGCAAGAUGCCAUGGGGAAAUAACUUGACACUGUGACCAUGUGGGGACAACCAAAGACUUGCUUUCUUCUGUCCCACAUGCCAAGGACCUGGCUUAGUCUGGAUCCUUUUUAGCUACAGUUGUUUGUAUUGCAUUUGUGCUAUUUGGUUGUACUGCACAUGUUCCUACCUGGCACAGGGAUAUCUCAGAAGAGGGACAGACCAAGAGGGAAAGGGUCCUGCAGGGUAGGUAGGGGUGGGGUGUGUGGUUAAGGUCACCCAAGAUGGCUGUUCUCUUGCUCUUUGUAACCCCUGGCCCUGCUUCACCUCUAUCCUACUCACAGGAACCUGCUUGCCCCCUGACCCAGCAGGUGAUUGUUUUCCUCCUUAGGCCAGAAUGGCUCCACUCACAGUUGCAUUAAAGGGAAAUAUCUGUCCUGGGGGUGGCCCUUAACCUGAGGGGUUUGGGGGACCUACCUCUGCUCUGUAACUGGUGAGCCAAUGUGACAUCUAUCUAUUCACUCCUUCUCCCUCAAGUAGCAGAGCGCUGCCAUGUCCUGCAUGCCGUCCACUGGGUGGCGCUCCUGGACCUUUUGCUUAAGGUGCCCUGUCCAAUAAGGCGCUGGUAUCUCCUCUCUCUCUCUCUCUCUCCCUCCCCCCCCCCCUCCCCCUCUCUCCCUCUCCCCCAGGCAGGGCAGCUUUGGAGACCUUCGGGAAGCAGCCCAACCCAAUCUUCCCAUAUUUAAAGAGAGCUGAAGCAGAUUCAACUUGAUGAGAAAUGGCAAUGUUUUCAAGGUUCAUAGGGGAUGGGAGAGCCUUUUGUGAUCAUCUUUGGAAAAUAAAGCUUGUCAGUCUCCCCCUG